rnacentral:pre_miRNA from 1 species
UUUUCUACAAAUCGGAAUGAUCUGAAAUUUGGAACAUGUGUUCAUAAAAAAUAGGCGAAUCUACAAAAAAUAUCAAAACAUUAUUUUACAUGAAAACAAUUGACCAAACGCCCCUGAAAAGUUUCGGGGGUAUUUUGGUCAAUUUUAUUUUCAUGAAUUAUUUUUUUUAUAUUUUUAUUAGGUGCGCCUCACUAAGAUGCACACACGAUCCAAAUUUCAGUUCAUUCCGAUUUGUAAAAAA